AACUUAACAAAUCAAUAUAUCAGGCCUCAAUCUAUUUCAUACUUGGACACCUAAGUGGUGCUAGUUCUUAGCGGUAGUCAACUCAACAGUCAAAUUGCUACCAUGUGCUUGUCAUUUUUAAUAUCUCUUGAGAUAUGUUUAUAGUCAUCUUCUCUUUUCUUUUGUAAUUUUGAUAACAUGGUGAAGCAUUUCAUAAAAUAUGUAGAUGUUUCAGCAAAUGCAUUCCUUGGGCUGGAAAAAAAAAAAAAGGAAAUUUGCCCAGGAAGUUCUCAGUUGUAGGUUUUUAUUUCUUUCAGGCUUCUGGUUUUUUGGAACCUAUGCUUUAAACUAACUGUUUGCUUUCGAUUUACAUGGAGGAGGAGAACAAUUGAGAAGUUCUAAAUUCAAUGGGUAAAAAAUGUUCCGGGGGUGAAAAAAUAUAAAGAAAGGUGAUAAGGAAAAAUGCCUGCAUCUAUUCUACCUAAAAAGUCGUACUGGGAAUGAAAUUGUGAGUUGGGCAGAAAUGAGUGUGUGAAGUCCCAUGUUCAUUUUUUCUGUUGUAGGAAAAUUUUAAAUAUGUGUUCAAUUCUGGACCAUCAGGAGUCAUGGAAAGUUCAAGGAAGGUUUCCAAAAAACAUUCCGGCUUACUCGUCUUUCGCAGCGACUACAGUGACUGGGGUGCUCCCAUCAGGUACAGGGGAAGGAGCGCUGGGCCUCACAGCUAGCCACCACGACUCUUCUUCCUAAACAGAUAAAGUGUAGACAGUGCAGACGUGGCAAAGAGUACCUUUUCCUGCUCCUCACGUAAAUCUGUGUUCCAAACGUCACAUGCCGAAGGGGAAGUGAACAGGUCUGUCUUAUUCUCCAGCAUUGAUGAUGAAGGCCGAAUUCUAGGGAGAAGCAAAUGAGGAAAAGAAGAAGUUAAAUCUCUUGGAGGAUAUGACUGUUCCGGUGUCUGCCCAUUGGCCUGAUGUAUUUUAAACCUGCAACGUCUGAAAUCUCCGUUCCCUUCUUUUGGACCCUCCAUCACAUGAAGCUGACCUACAGGUGUUUACAAGAUCCCUACUCUGUGUAGCCCUCCGUCCUGUCCAUCCACGCCUGACGUCCAGCCCUUCCCCACAAAGGCCCAUUCUAAUUUCACCAAUGGUCGGCUCCACUUGCCACAAUCCUGUCAAGGCAGACAAAUGAAACAUGUCAGGAGACAUGUGGAAGAAAAGAGUUACUGAUUUACUGUGGAACUUUUUAUGGAUAAGAGUUAUUUCUCUUGGCCUGGUACCUGCUCUUGAAGCUUGAUCACAUUUCAAGGUACUGCAGCCAUUUACUCAAAUAUUCUAGGUCCUCAGAUGUUAGGGUGCACGUGUCUGUUUGUGUGCGUGCAUGUCUGAAUGCGGUUGGAAAGCCACAGCAAGGCUGUUGAUUGCAAAGCAGGAACAAAGGGGAAAAGUCAAGGCUCCCUCCCACCCUCACCUCUAAUGAUUAUCAGCAUCACUGCGGCUCUUUUGUUUGGGAAAAGGACUUAGGGUCACUUUGCAACGAAAAAAAAGUCUUUAGCGUGCACAAGUUUGAAAACAUUGUCCUAUUUAUUUGGAGAAGUAUACAGAAAGCUCUUUUCCCCUCUAGUUUGGUUUGCAAAUAGAAUGUUUUUGUGUCUAUCUCCGUGGUGUCGUGCUUUACUGAAAAAAAAGACCGAGUGGUAUGGGAAGGUCAGAUUUGGGGGUGAUGAUUCUCCCUCUAGCUUUUCAGAUGUCACAACCAGAUGAAG
ensembl:lncRNA